rnacentral:rRNA from 1 species
UAAGGAAUAUUGGGCAAUGGAGGCAACUCUGACCCAGCCAUGCCGCGUGGAGGAUGAAGGUCCUCUGGAUUGUAAACUUCUUUUAUUUGGGAAGAAAUGCCGACUUUCUAGUUGGUUUGACGGUACCAGAUGAAUAAGCACCGGCUAACUCCGUGCCAGCAGCCGCGGUAAUACGGAGGGUGCAAGCGUUAUCCGGAUUCACUGGGUUUAAAGGGUGCGUAGGCGGGCAUAUAAGUCAGUGGUGAAAUCCCCGAGCUUAACUUGGGAACUGCCGUUGAUACUAUGUGUCUUGAAUAUCGCGGAGGUAAGCGGAAUAUGUCAUGUAGCGGUGAAAUGCAUAGAUAUGACAUAGAACACCGAUUGCGAAGGCAGCUUACUACACGAUCAUUGACGCUGAGGCACGAAAGCGUGGGGAGCAAACAGG